ACUUCAGGACGGGGACAACAGUUGGAAACGACUGCUAAUACCCGAUGUGCCGCAAGGUGAAAACUAAUUGGCCUGAAGAAGAGCUUGCGUCUGAUUAGCUAGUUGGUGGGGUAAGAGCCUACCAAGGCGACGAUCAGUAGCUGGUCUGAGAGGAUGAGCAGCCACACUGGGACUGAGACACGGCCCAGACUCCUACGGGAGGCAGCAGUGGGGAAUUUUCCGCAAUGGGCGAAAGCCUGACGGAGCAACGCCGCGUGAGGGAGGAAGGUCUUUGGAUUGUAAACCUCUUUUCUCAAGGAAGAAGUUCUGACGGUACUUGAGGAAUCAGCCUCGGCUAACUCCGUGCCAGCAGCCGCGGUAAUACGGGGGAGGCAAGCGUUAUCCGGAAUUAUUGGGCGUAAAGCGUCCGCAGGUGGUCAGCCAAGUCUGCCGUCAAAUCAGGUUGCUUAACGACCUA
rnacentral:rRNA from 2 species